AGACAGUAACCAUCAACUUUUGACUGGUGCGGCAGCUCAACUGUCUUCAUUCAAGGUUUGUCCAACGUCUGCGAGCUUUCAGGCUACUUCCUGGUUCAUGAUGAUGAUGAUGGAUCGUGCCGUUGUCCUUCUGGGGUGGUGGACUGUUCCAUUCAUACCCCAGAGGAGUGGUGAAGUACACGGACGCCCACUCACCCCGCCGAAUCAUCUCCAUUGGUCAAGCCGGCUCUCUUUCAGCAGCGUCGACAGGCGGAGUACGAACAAGAUUGGCCCGGAAGAACGUCACUUAUAACGGGUCGCAGGGCUGUGCGCGGUGGGAUG